rnacentral:rRNA from 1 species
UACGUAGGGGGCUAGCGUUGUCCGGAAUCAUUGGGCGUAAAGCGCGCGUAGGCGGCCCGGUAAGUCCGCUGUAAAAGUCAAAGGCUCAACCUUUGAAUGUCAGUGGAUACUGCCGGGCUAGAGUCCGGAAGAGGCGAGUGGAACUCCUGGUGUAGCGGUGGAAUGCGUAGAUAUCUGGAGGAACACCGGUGGCGAAGGCGGCAUCCUGGACCAACACUGACGCUGAGGAGCGAAAGCCAGGGGAGCAAACGGG